rnacentral:lncRNA from 1 species
AGGGGACCCGCGGAAUGGAGGAUUAGGAAGGACUCGAGCGCGGCACGAGCGCGGCCCGCGCGAGGCACCCUGGAGGCGGCUGACAUGGUCAACAAAUUUAUCAAAGAAUCCCCUGGCUUUUGAAGAAUAGUACUUUAUGCAUCUGGAUCUGCACAUCCAGGCAAAGCUCAGAAAUACCCAUUUAUUCUUUAACCACAUGGAUGUGUCUAUUUUUGGAGGAAGAAGGAAACAUAUAAAUGCCUGGGUUGCAUCUAUGCUGUAGUUGCAAACACUGAACAGUUAAGAAGAUUUUGCCUAAUUCUGCAAAGCAGCCAACAAAGCGCCUUGGGAUCCUGGUAAUACAAGUAGGAAGACUCUUGCUCUCCUUUGGCAAUGUUUUGGAUAUCCUUGAAAACGACAGCAAACUGUGCCUCAAUUUGACUAAGAAGAGGUUAAACCAUAUUGAUAUUCAUCCAAAGUGAUUUUGUGAAACCAGAUGCUUGGCUUUCAUGGAAAAAAAAAUGGGAGUUGUGGAAGAUUCACCUAAACUACCAACUCAAGCAUCCCAGACCACUGAAAUAGUCUGCAUUGUACUUCAGCACUUUCUUUUCAUCGUUAUUACGUAAAACCGCUGGAAGCACCUUGGGCGUUUUACAUUUUCUUUUCUUUGCUGCACAAGGAAGCAGUCUACUCCCUGGAAUUCUGAUCUGUCGUGAACAGGACCCUGGCACAGGCUGUGUUGGAGACUCCAGGACAAUCCCGCCUCUAAACAGCCCGGUUAAUUGUGAAAAGUGUACACAUUUCUGGCUUAUCUAUGCUUUGUUAUGGGUCUGACGUGAAACUACCUCCUUCUCACCCCACCCCCCAGCAGAGAACCGAAAUCCAGUAGAAUUGUUAGUGUUUCGGAGCUGGAGCCUUGAACUGCUUCCUUGGUCAAAUAACUUUGUUUCUGGUUGUAAAAAAGCCAUUUCGGGGGGAAAAAAGGAAAAUCGAGAGAAAUUCCAAACGUAAGUGUGUACGGGGGUGGUUCACAGCGUGGUUUAACUUUGGAGCUGCAGUCUCGUUCCCCGCUUCCAUAAGGGAAAUACCAGGCUAUUCUGCACAUUUUCCCUUCAGCUCCAUUUUCCAAAGGAAAAGGGGGUGGGGUCUGUCUGGGUUUGAUAAUGUUUUAAAAAUGCUUUUCUUUGAAAUGAAAAUAGCGGUAUCCGUAAAAUGCAAAUAAUGCAAAAAAUAGGUAAUAUUUCUUUAAAGGGAAAUAUACGGUGGCUUUCUCUUUUUUCAAGCGUACACACUGCUUCUCCUGAAGUCUGUGAGUCAGGCUGUUUCUGAGCUCCAACAGUUUAAUGGAAAGAUU